CCACCAGCGCUGAAACUUCGCGUACCAACAGCAGCGCCGUAAAACGCAGCCUAGCGAGCGGUGGAAACAGUUUUCAGUAGCACAUGCAGUGAUUUCGCGCCAGGAAUUUCAGCAA
rnacentral:lncRNA from 1 species